rnacentral:lncRNA from 1 species
GGUCUUCUUCUUCUUCUCCUCUCUCACGUUUCUUCAAAACUCCAUGGAAGCUUGAUUUGAAGCUUGAAUGAUUUUCUCUCUCUAGCUUUAGUUUUCACAUCUUUGAACCCUUUUGACUAGAACCUUUGAAUUCUUUCAUCCUCUCACUUCAAAACCCUUGAUAAAGCUUAUUUCCAGACUUUCUCUCACUAGUUGGGCAUUCUAGAGAGAGAAAGAGAGAAUUACUCCAUUGAUUUGGAAGCUAUUGGAAGAUAAUUUGACUACAAAGGAACCCUAUGGUAAGUAAUGAACUAAGCUCGAUUUUUAGUUGCAGAAAAUGGCUAGUAAUUAGGAUUUAUGAGCUAUUUUAUUGUUGACUAUAUUCAUUACUUUUUAGUGAUUAAGAUAGUGAACAUAGAUAGCUGUUUAAUGUGGCAAUUGAAAACUAGCUAAGAGAUAGCCUUUAGAGUUCAUAGUGUGUAAAUUGAUCUAUUGUUUAUGUUAAUGUGAUCCUAGGUUUUAAGGAAGCCCCAUCAUCUCAUUU